AGAGUUUGAUCCUGGCUCAGAUUGAACGCUGGCGGCAUGCUUUACACAUGCAAGUCGAACGGCAGCGCGGGGCAACCUGGCGGCGAGUGGCGAACGGGUGAGUAAUAUAUCGGAACGUACCCAAGAGUGGGGGAUAACGUAGCGAAAGUUACGCUAAUACCGCAUACGAUCUAAGGAUGAAAGCAGGGGACCGCAAGGCCUUGUGCUCCUGGAGCGGCCGAUAUCUGAUUAGCUAGUUGGUGAGGUAAUGGCUCACCAAGGCGACGAUCAGUAGCUGGUCUGAGAGGACGACCAGCCACACUGGAACUGAGACACGGUCCAGACUCCUACGGGAGGCAGCAGUGGGGAAUUUUGGACAAUGGGCGCAAGCCUGAUCCAGCAAUGCCGCGUGAGUGAAGAAGGCCUUCGGGUUGUAAAGCUCUUUUGUCAGGGAAGAAACGGCGCCGGCUAAUAUCCGGCGCUAAUGACGGUACCUGAAGAAUAAGCACCGGCUAACUACGUGCCAGCAGCCGCGGUAAUACGUAAGGUGCAAGCGUUAAUCGGAAUUACUUGGGCGUAAAGCGUGCGCAGGCGGUUUUGUAAGUCUGUCGUG
rnacentral:rRNA from 1 species